UUAUUUGAAGCUAAAAUAGCCUAUCCCUGUUAAGGAUAUAUUGGUUCAUCCCCUUAUAAA
rnacentral:tRNA from 1 species